AGGCUAAUACRUGUAUAUAACGACUUGGUCAACCGGGAAACUGGAAGGMUGGGGGUSGUGUGAAGMUUAACUGCAACACCGACCUAGGAAACGAUGCACAAUCAGACCACCACACAAACGGUCUCGUUUUGAGGCAAGUACCUUCGGGGAAAGCCAAAGGGCUUGACUGGGUGGCUCUUGCUUUGUGCUUCUGACCUAUCAACUCGAUGGCAGCGUAAGGGACAUGCUAUGGUUACAAUCAGGGUA
rnacentral:rRNA from 1 species